AUUGAACGCUGGCGGCAGGCCUAACACAUGCAAGUCGAGCGGAUGAAGGGAGCUUGCUCCUGGAUUCAGCGGCGGACGGGUGAGUAAUGCCUAGGAAUCUGCCUGGUAGUGGGGGAUAACGUCCGGAAACGGGCGCUAAUACCGCAUACGUCCUGAGGGAGAAAGUGGGGGAUCUUCGGACCUCACGCUAUCAGACGAGCCUAGGUCGGAUUAGCUAGUUGGUGGGGUAAAGGCCUACCAAGGCGACGAUCCGUAACUGGUCUGAGAGGAUGAUCAGUCACACUGGAACUGAGACACGGUCCAGACUCCUACGGGAGGCAGCAGUGGGGAAUAUUGGGCAAUGGGCGAAAGCCUGAUCCAGCCAUGCCGCGUGUGUGAAGAAGGUCUUCGGAUUGUAAAGCACUUUAAGUUGGGAGGAAGGGCAGUAAGUUAAUACCUUGCUGUUUUGACGUUACCAACAGAAUAAGCACCGGCUAACUUCGUG
rnacentral:rRNA from 1 species